rnacentral:lncRNA from 1 species
GUUGAUUAUCAUAUAGAUUUGAAGCUUGUGCUUGAUCAGAUUGCACGAGUAAUAAAUGCAUUUAUCGAUGUCUGCUUACUGUUUUAUAAAUAUAAAUAUAUAAAAACAUUAAUUCUAAUUUUUCAAUGUAUUAAUCAAAAAAUUACACCUGAUAAAAACUCUCUGUAUAUAAUCAAAAAUAUAAAUGCUUAUCAGAUUUCUAAACUAAACGAGCUACAAAUAUAUAACAUUAAACAGUUAAUACAAUUUGAUUACUAUUUUUUACAAUCGUUAAACCUGUUUGAUAAUGAGCAGUUGAGCUAUAUAUUGAAAAUUCCAGUUGUAACUGCUAAUGUCAAAGUGUAUAGCACUGUAGUCGACGACGCUUGUGGAAGCAAUAAUACUAAUGGCGGUGUAAGUAGUAAUAAUGUGAACAUAGAUAACUGCACCAAUACUGUUAGCAGAGAAAAAAAAAAAACUAUAACGGUACCUAUUACAAAAUAUGAUAAUAACAGAAAAAAAUAUUUUUUUAAAAUGAAACACUAUGAACACAACGAAACAGUUAUUAAAAUAUAUUUUUAUUUUCUAAAUAAAACGGAUGAACACGCAAAUCUACUAUCAACCCAACCGCCAAGUGUUCAAUGGUAUUCCAUCUUUCAUGACUCUACUGAAAAUAAAUCCAUAUUUAUCAAACGAUUUAACAACGCGCACGCCCAAAAAACAUCUACCGUUUCGUUUAUGUUAGAAGAUAUUGAAAAAGGUAAUUUCGAUUUUACGAUUUACAUUCAUAAUGACACUUAUUACGGACUGGACGAUGAAGUAAUCGAAAAAAAAAAAAAUAAAAUAAAAUAAUACAUUAUUAAUGACUUAAGUGUUUGUUGGUCAAGUAAAGUAAUGAAAAAACGAUGCGUGCAAAGUAGACGUAUAAUUAUAUACAUAUACAUAUAUAUGCGUACACAUAUGUACACAUGUGUACCUAUUUUUGUGUGUACGUUUUUACUUUAUUCGAUUUUUUUUUUUCUUUUUUCUCUUUGUGCAGGUACAUUUGCAGCUGCAAGUCGAAUAAAUAUAUAUGCCUAAAUACA